rnacentral:rRNA from 1 species
ACGGGGGUUGCGAGCGUUGUCCGGAAUUACUAGGCGUAAAGGGCAGGCAGGCGGAUUUAUAAGUUUUCUGUUUAAGGCAACGGCUCACCCGUUGUAAGGCAGGAGAUACUGUAGAUCUGGAAUGCGGUUGGGGAAGACAGAAUUCCUGGUGUAGGGGGGCUAAGCGGAAAGAAGAGAAGGAACACUGAGAGGGAAGGGGCAUCAAAAAGAAGAAAUAGACGGUGAAGUGCGAAGGGGACGAUCUCGUACAG